rfam:Trichuris trichiura, WGS project CBXK01000000 data, contig: TTRE_648
GGCCGGAUAAGGCGUUUACGCCGCAUCAGGCAUCUGAGCAUGAUGCCUGAUGCGGCGCUGGUCGCGUCUUAUCAGGCC